rnacentral:rRNA from 1 species
GACGAACGCUGGCGGCGUGCCUAAUACAUGCAAGUCGAACGAAGCUGUUUUAACUGGUGCUUGCACCGACUUAAACAACUGAGUGGCGAACGGGUGAGUAACACGUGGGUAACCUGCCCCAAAGCGGGGGAUAACAUUUGGAAACAGAUGCUAAUACCGCAUAACCACAGAAACCACAUGGUUUCUGUGUCAAAGAUGGUUUCGGCUAUCACUUUGGGAUGGACCCGCGGCGUAUUAGCUAGUUGGUAAGGUAAUGGCUUACCAAGGCAAUGAAACGUAGCCGAAAUGAGAGGUUGAUCGGCCACAUUGGGACUGAGACACGGCCCAAACUCCUACGGGAGGCAGCAGUAGGGAAUCUUCCACAAUGGACGAAAGUCUGAUGGAGCAACGCCGCGUGAGUGAAGAAGGUUUUCGGAUCGUAAAACUCUGUUGUCAGAGAAGAACGUGUGCGAGAGUAACUGUUCGUGCAGUGACGGUAUCUGGCCAGAAAGCCACGGCUAACUACGUGCCAGCCGCCGCGGUAA